GGGCGCGUAGCUCAGUGGAAGCGUCCCGGUUAUGCCGUGGACCAGAGCAUCUGCCUUCUAAGCAGACGGUCGCAGGUUCAAGUCCUGCCGCGCCUACCA
rnacentral:tRNA from 1 species